rnacentral:sRNA from 2 species
UUGAUAAGUCAGCCUAAUCCUCAAUCAUAACAACUCCAGAGGAACGGGGAAACCGAUCCAGGGGCGCAUCUCUAUAGUAUCAGUAGAGAAGGACAUCUCUCAGUCCUAGCCCGUCAGCUAACCUCGUCGGCAUUGAGAGGAGACUGA